GGGGGCGACUGGUUUCGACAUAAUAGUGUUGCAAGAGGAAGCAAGCGGUGGUCUCCUCGCCACCUUAAACAGGGGUACCGUCAAAUUAAUUGACAAACCUCGUUAUGCCCUCGCCGCCUGAUUUGGCCGCGACGUCGACUCUUUGGAUUUCCCCGCCAUUGACAAGACGCCACAGAGGGGAAUGCUCUUGAGUACGUAGCCGGUAUGCCUCAAGAAAAGAUUGAACCAGCUAGGGAGAAGCCCGUGUGUCUGUGGACCCGCUUCAACCGAACCUCGAUUACAGACUGAGCUUGGAGAUGCCUCUUAAGAUGCUGUUAUGGACCGGAGUUCGAUUCUCCGCGCCUCCACCA
rnacentral:tmRNA from 1 species